UACGGGGGGGGCAAGCGUUGUUCGGAAUUACUGGGCGUAAAGGGCUUGUAGGCGGCCAACUAAGUCAGACGUGAAAUCCCUCGGCUUAACCGGGGAACUGCGUCUGAUACUGGAUGGCUUGAGUUCGGGAGAGGGAUGCGGAAUUCCAGGUGUAGCGGUGAAAUGCGUAGAUAUCUGGAGGAACACCGGUGGCGAAGGCGGCAUCCUGGACCGACACUGACGCUGAUGAGCGAAAGCCAGGGGAGCAAACGGG
rnacentral:rRNA from 1 species